rnacentral:lncRNA from 1 species
AAAUUUCCCUAGACCCCAGCCAAACUUCAAACGUAGACCUCCUAUAUAAUACAUCACCAUUGCCGAACCGAUUGACCGGCUGUAUGAAAGGCUUAAAGAUGCUGGUUACAUCACCCCUACCUCUGUCAUAACCCUAGAAAAUCCUUCCUAGUAGGUCAACCCGAACAAAAUAUGUGCAUAAGAUUCCGGCAUGAAAGGUCAUACCAUUGAGGAGUGCUGCUCCCUAAAGGACAAGAUUCAUGA